CCUGGAGACUCCUACGGGAGGCAGCAGUGAGGAAUAUUGGACAAUGGUCGGAAGACUGAUCCAGCCAUGCCGCGUGCAGGAUGACGGCCUUAUGGGUUGUAAACUGCUUUUGUAAGGGAAGAAUAAGGACUACGUGUAGUUUGAUGACGGUACCUUAUGAAUAAGCAUCGGCUAACUCCGUGCCAGCAGCCGCGGUAAUACGGAGGAUGCGAGCGUUAUCCGGAAUCAUUGGGUUUAAAGGGUCUGUAGGCGGGCUGGUAAGUCAGAGGUGAAAGCGCUUAGCUCAACUAAGCAACUGCCUUUGAAACUGUUGGUCUUGAAUGGUUGUGAAGUAGUUGGAAUGUGUAGUGUAGCGGUGAAAUGCUUAGAUAUUACACAGAACACCGAUAGCGAAGGCAUAUUACUAACAAUUAAUUGACGCUGAUGGACGAAAGCGUGGGGAGCGAACAGGAUUAGAUACCCCGGUAGUCCUAUC
rnacentral:rRNA from 1 species